AGUGAACGCUGGCGGUAGGCCUAACACAUGCAAGUCGAACGGCAGCACAGUAAGAGCUUGCUCUUACGGGUGGCGAGUGGCGGACGGGUGCGGAAUACAUCGGAAUCUACUUUUUCGUGGGGGAUAACGUAGGGAAACUUACGCUAAUACCGCAUACGACCUACGGGUGAAAGCAGGGGAUCUUCGGCCCUCGCGCGAUUGAAUGAGCCGAUGUCGGAUUAGCUAGUUGGCGGGGUAAAGGCCCACCAAGGCGACGAUCCGUAGCUGGUCUGAGAGGAUGAUCAGCCACACUGGAACUGAGACACGGUCCAGACUCCUACGGGAGGCAGCAGUGGGGAAUAUUGGACAAUGGGCGCAAGCCUGAUCCAGCCAUACCGCGUGUGUGAAGAAGGCCUUCGGGUUGUAAAGCCCUUUUGUUGGGAAAGAAAAGCAGCAGGUUAAUACCCCGCUGUUCUGACGGUACCCAAAGAAUAAGCACCGGCUAACUUCGUG
rnacentral:rRNA from 1 species